AUGUGCGGAGGCCCGGAGGAGAAGGGAUGACAGAGGCCCAGAGAGGAAGGGAUGACAGAGGCCCAGAGAGGAAGGGAUGACAGAGGCCCGGAGAGGAAGGGAUGACAGAGGCCCGGAGAGGAAGGGAAGACAGAGGCCCAGAGAGGAAGGGAAGACAGAGGCCCAGAGAGGAAGGGAUGACAGAGGCCCAGAGAGGAAGGGAUGACAGAGGCCUGGAGAGGAGGGAUGACAGAGGCCCAGAGAGGAAGGGAUGACAGAGGCCCAGAGAGGAAGGGAUGACAGAGGCCCAGAGAGGAAGGGAUGACAGAGGCCCAGAGAGGAAGGGAUGACAGAGGCCCAGAGAGGAAGGGAUACAGAGGCCCAGAGAGGAAGGGAUGACAGAGGCCCAGAGAUGAAGGGAUGACAGAGGCCCAGAGAGGAGAAGGGAAGACAGAGGGCCAGAGAAGAAGGGAUGACAGAGGGCCAGAGAGGAAGGGAAGACAGAGGCCCAGAGAGGAAGGGAUGACAGAGGGCCAGAGAGGAAGGGAUGACAGAGGGCCAGAGAGGAAGGGAAGACAGGGGCAGAGGAGAGGAGCGAACGGAAUGGAACAGUGAGGAUAGAGAGAUGAAAAUGGAAGAGGGGAAGGAAGGAUUUGACUUGAAGAGGGAGAAAAAGGAGGAGAGGGAGAGGGAGAGGAAGGAGCGAUAGGAGGGUUUCAGUUUGAGCAUGAACAUUCUAGAACAACCAAAUUUAGGAAUAACUCCUUUAUACAUUUAUGUGUUGUGAUUGCAAAGAUAAUCACCACCUUUGGACUUUU
ensembl:lncRNA